GUCUUGUACUCAUUGCCCCAUUCAUCAACCAAAAUGACUGUGGUAUCAGAACUAGGUAAAUGCAUGUUGCAGAAUGACUUUGGAAGAUGCAACCAAAAUCCAUGAGCAACAUUUGAAGGGAGCAUACACUUUGCAAAGCUGGGGAAUUCAUCUGGUAGGCUUGAUAAAACCUUUUCUGCUCGCUCCAUAACAGAAUAUUUAGCUUCAAUGUCAUCAUAAAGGUCAUU
rnacentral:misc_RNA from 1 species